rnacentral:rRNA from 1 species
GAUCAUGGCUCAGGAUUAACGUUGGCAGUGCGCCUAACACAUGCAAGUCGAGCGAUAUAGCGGCAGACGAGAGAGUAAUAGUAAGGAACUUACCCCCGAGUGAAGGAUAGCCAGCCGAAAGGUUGGGUAAUCCUGCAUAAUAUCGAAAGAUCAAAGCCUUCGGGCGCUUGGGGAGAGGCCUUACUCCUAUCAGCUAGUUGGUGAGGUAAAGGCUCACCAAGGCGAUGACGGGUAGCUGGUCUGAGAGGAUGAUCAGCCUCGAUGGGACUGAGACACGGCCCAUACUCCUACGGGAGGCAGCAGUUGGGGAUUUUGCACAAUGGAGGAAACUCUGAUGCAGCGACACUGCGUGAAGGAUGAAGGUUUUCGGAUCGUAAACUUCUUUUAGUGGGGAGUAAUCUUGAAAGUACCCACUGAAUAAGGACCGGCUAACUACGUG